GUAUUUCAUUGCGUUAAACGCGACAUACAUUCCAUGAGACUUUUUUGUAGUGUGUGUGUAAAGACGUAGAGCCACAGCAGGAGGGCAGAGCCCCCCAGGCCAUAGAACUACAGAGGGUGCACAGGUGUAAGUGGAUGUGUAAACAGAGCGUGCACAUGCCCCCCAUACAGGGGCCAGCAACAACUCCUGUUGACAAUUCGGUAAUGAUCCUUCCGCAGGUUCACCUACGGAAA
rnacentral:misc_RNA from 1 species